UGGGGAAUCUUCCGCAAUGGACGAAAGUCUGACGGAGCAACGCCGCGUGUAUGACGAAGGCCUUCGGGUUGUAAAGUACUGUCUUUGGGGACGAACGGCAGGUGUGAGAAUAUUGCACUUGCAUGACGGUACCCAAGGAGGAAGCCCCGGCUAACUACGUGCCAGCAGCCGCGGUAAUACGUAGGGGGCGAGCGUUGUCCGGAAUCAUUGGGCGUAAAGGGCGCGUAGGCGGGUCAUUAAGUCUGGUGUGAAAGGCAGGGGCUCAACCCCUGGAAGGCACGGAAACUGGUUAUCUUGAGGACAGGAGAGGAAAGCGGAAUUCCACNUGUAGCGGUGAAAUGCGUAGAUAUGUGGAGGAACACCAGUGGCGAAGGCGGCUUUCUGGACUGUAACUGACGCUGAGGCGCGAAAGCGUGGGGAGCAAACAGG
rnacentral:rRNA from 1 species